rnacentral:lncRNA from 1 species
AUGAUAUAUGUAAGCUUGUGGGCAGCAACCACAGAGAACACUGGGAUUUGGAAACUGGGGAGAGUGCAAGCCUAUCUGAAUGAGGAAUGGAUGUCUGUGAUUCAGAAUAGCUGGAAAAUGUAUUCUCUGAGAGUGUACCUGCAUCAGUAUAUAAAUUCAUAUCUAAAGACAACUAAUGGAUCUUCAGCAGUGUUUCUUCUUACUGCCUGAAACCUCAGGCAUUCAUUUAACAAGCAUUGGACAAUGAGGAGAACUGCUUCAGUACUGGAGACAGGAAUUUGGAGUGCUCCCUUGUACAGUAUGCUUUGACCAUUGCACUUCUUCACCUCCUGUAUCUUGUUUUAUGUCCUUCAGAGAAGAAGUUUUUGAAGAGAAGUGGUUUGCUGCUCCUUAGAAAUGAGAGCAGUAGGCUUGAGUGCCCUUCCAGGCUCCCGUGAAGGCAAGAAAGCCUGAUUUCUUGUUUACUCUCCUCUAACUUGACAUUAAGCCAGGGACACCAUUCAUUUAGCAACACCAUCCAUUUUAUAAGCUUUGUUUCAAGAAAUACAUGUUUCUGAGGGCCCUGAGCCUGGAGGUAAUUCCUAGGGGUAACCAGAGCACGUCCACAGCACUGACCCCUCUCCAGGCUUACUUGAUGCUCCAUGAAGGAGGGCAGGAUCAGCCCAUGCAAUUGUUUAGGCAAGGCAUUUUCUUGGCUGCAAAGCAUUGCUCUGUCUGAAUUGUCAGUCCAGAAUGGAACGAGAGGGAGCUUAGGCUAAGAGUCCUCCAGAUUCUGAGAUCACAUUUCCCUUUUGUAUUUUCUGUAAGACUUUGGGCACCAGGAGCGUUGUUUUCUCUCCUUUCAGGUAUGUACCACCCUGCCAAGGACAUAUUAUCACCUGCCCAGGUGAGGAGAGAGUGAGCAAAGCUUUUUAGACUGUAGUUUUGAUUUAGUGCUCCUAGCAUCCUCCUAAAUUCGGUUUUAUAUUCCCAUGUCCUUAUUUGACUCUAGCCCUAAAUCAAAAGAGGGUAUAUAUUUUAGCCUUAGAGGUUAAAGAAUCUGAUUCUUUCUCCUGACAGUGAACAAUGUCCUUAAGUGAUGUGCAAGUCAUGUUUAAGUGCCUCUCAUUUAAGAAAGCAAUCUUUCAUUUGCCUUUGGUUUUCAUGACUGCUUAAGCACUUACAUGUUAAUUUUUCUCAGUUCCACAGGAUUAGAGAUAUUUCUUCCAAAGGAUAAAAUGAGGAUGCAAUCGAGGGGCAUGUGAAGUAGAAAGCAAAUUCAGGAGGAACAUUUAUUUUGAAAUAAGAAUCCGUCUCAAAACUAGUGAUCAGAUAAAAUCUGAGUGUAGAGGCUUUUAAAAUUUAAUUUGCUGAUAGGUCAGCAGUUGUGAAAAACUGAUCUCCACAUUUGUAAUGUAAGUCUUGCCCACUGGGGAAAAGGCUUGUGACUUAGAUUUCAUCUUUUGCAGUUUGUUAAAUGGGAAGGGCUCAGUUUGCUACAUGAUGUCAUAUUAUGGAAAUAAAUACCCUUGGCUAGAAGCA